UGGGGGAUUAGCUCAGCUGGGAGAGCGUAUGGUUCGCAAUCAUAAGGCCAGGGGUUCGAUCCCCCUAUUCUCCAU
rnacentral:tRNA from 1 species